CUUUACCUUCAGCUCUGGGAAGUGGUUGGUUUUGAGAGAAAGACUUCUCAGUAUGACCUUCUGCUCAACUACCGUGAUUUCCUCCAUCAAAGGUUUAGCAUAGAUGUUGGUCCAUCAUCAAGUACAGUAGCAACAAUCAAAUUGAUUGAUGUGAAUAUUAUGAAGUUAACUAGUCUCCUUCUGAGCAAUCUUCUAGAUGUGGUUGAGGAGGCAUACUUGAUACA